UGGGGAAUUUUGGACAAUGGGGGAAACCCUGAUCCAGCCAUCCCGCGUGUGCGAUGAAGGCCUUCGGGUUGUAAAGCACUUUUGGCAGGAAAGAAACGUCAUGGGUUAAUACCCCGUGAAACUGACGGUACCUGCAGAAUAAGCACCGGCUAACUACGUGCCAGCAGCCGCGGUAAUACGUAGGGUGCAAGCGUUAAUCGGAAUUACUGGGCGUAAAGCGUGCGCAGGCGGUUCGGAAAGAAAGAUGUGAAAUCCCAGAGCUCAACUUUGGAACUGCAUUUUUAACUACCGGGCUAGAGUGUGUCAGAGGUGGGUGGAAUUCCGCGUGUAGCAGUGAAAUGCGUAGAUAUGCGGAGGAACACCGAUGGCGAAGGCAGCCUCCUGGGAUAACACUGACGCUCAUGCACGAAAGCGUGGGGAGCAAACAGG
rnacentral:rRNA from 1 species